GAUGAACGCUGGCGGCGUGCUUAACACAUGCAAGUCGAACGAUGAAGCCCAGCUUGCUGGGUGGAUUAGUGGCGAACGGGUGAGUAACACGUGAGUAACCUGCCCUUAACUCUGGGAUAAGCCUGGGGAAACUGGGUCUAAUACCGGAUAGAAGCGUCCACCGCAUGGUGGGUGUUGGAAAGAUUUAUCGGUUUUGGAUGGACUCGCGGCCUAUCAGCUUGUUGGUGAGGUAAUGGCUCACCAAGGCGACGACGGGUAGCCGGCCUGAGAGGGUGACCGGCCACACUGGGACUGAGACACGGCCCAGACUCCUACGGGAGGCAGCAGUGGGGAAUAUUGCACAAUGGGCGCAAGCCUGAUGCAGCGACGCCGCGUGAGGGAUGACGGCCUUCGGGUUGUAAACCUCUUUCAGUAGGGAAGAAGCGAAAGUGACGGUACCUGCAGAAGAAGCACCGGCUAACUACGUG
rnacentral:rRNA from 1 species